rnacentral:lncRNA from 1 species
UGAACUGUUUCCCGCUCAGCUUUCACCGUUGGAUGGACAACGAACUGUGAAAGUCCCAAGAGAGAAUGCUCCACACGAUUUCCUGCGCCCCACACAGCUCUCCAAAACCCUAAUAUUUUAUCAGUGUGUUUUCCUGAGAGCUGACAGCUGUAUUUAUAAUAAAAUAAAUACGUGUAGGCACAGAAUUAGUGUAGGAGGCAUUUUUCUCUUCUUCUAGGGC